AUUGAACGCUGGCGGUAGGCUUAACACAUGCAAGUCGAGCGGAAACGAAGAAUAGCUUGCUAUUCUGGCGUCGAGCGGCGGACGGGUGAGUAAUGCUUGGGAAUCUGCCUAGUCGAGGGGGACAACAGUUGGAAACGACUGCUAAUACCGCAUACGACCUACGGGUGAAAGGGGGCCUCUUCUUGAAAGCUCUCGCGACUAGAUGAGCCCAAGUGGGAUUAGCUUGUUGGUGAGGUAAGAGCUCACCAAGGCGACGAUCCCUAGCUGGUCUGAGAGGAUGAUCAGCCACACUGGAACUGAGACACGGUCCAG
rnacentral:rRNA from 1 species